rnacentral:rRNA from 1 species
GACGAACGCUGGCGGCGUGCUUAACACAUGCAAGUCGAACGGAAAGGCCCUGCUUUUGUGGGGUGCUCGAGUGGCGAACGGGUGAGUAACACGUGAGUAGCCUGCCCUUGACUUUGGGAUAACUUCAGGAAACUGGGGCUAAUACCGGAUAGGAGCUCCUGCUGCAUGGUGGGGGUUGGAAAGUUUCGGCGGUUGGGGAUGGACUCGCGGCUUAUCAGCUUGUUGGUGGGGUAGUGGCUUACCAAGGCUUUGACGGGUAGCCGGCCUGAGAGGGUGACCGGCCACAUUGGGACUGAGAUACGGCCCAGACUCCUACGGGAGGCAGCAGUGGGGAAUAUUGCACAAUGGGCGGAAGCCUGAUGCAGCAACGCCGCGUGCGGGGUGACGGCCUUCGGGUUGUAAACCGCUUUCGCCUGUGACGAAGCGUGAGUGACGGUAAUGGGUAAAGAAGCACCGGCUAACUACGUGCCAGCAGCCGCGGUGAUACGUAGGGUGCGAGCGUUGUCCGGAUUUAUUGGGCGUAAAGGGCUCGUAGGUGGUUGAUCGCGUCGGAAGUGUAAUCUUGGGGCUUAACCCUGAGCGUGCUUUCGAUACGGGUUGACUUGAGGAAGGUAGGGGAGAAUGGAAUUCCUGGUGGAGCGGUGGAAUGCGCAGAUAUCAGGAGGAACACCAGUGGCGAAGGCGGUUCUCUGGGCCUUUCCUGACGCUGAGGAGCGAAAGCGUGGGGAGCGAACAGGCUUAGAUACCCUGGUAGUCCACGCUGUAAACGGUGGGUACUAGGUGUGGGGUCCAUUCCACGGGUUCCGUGCCGUAGCUAACGCUUUAAGUACCCCGCCUGGGGAGUACGGCCGCAAGGCUAAAACUCAAAGGAAUUGACGGGGCCCCGCACAAGCGGCGGAGCAUGCGGAUUAAUUCGAUGCAACGCGUAGAACCUUACCUGGGUUUGACAUGGAUCGGGAGUGCUCAGAGAUGGGUGUGCCUCUUUUGGGGUCGGUUCACAGGUGGUGCAUGGCUGUCGUCAGCUCGUGUCGUGAGAUGUUGGGUUAAGUCCCGCAACGAGCGCAACCCUUGUUCACUGUUGCCAGCACGUUAUGGUGGGGACUCAGUGGAGACCGCCGGGGUCAACUCGGAGGAAGGUGGGGAUGACGUCAAGUCAUCAUGCCCCUUAUGUCCAGGGCUUCACGCAUGCUACAAUGGCUGGUACAGAGAGUGGCGAGCCUGUGAGGGUGAGCGAAUCUCGGAAAGCCGGUCUCAGUUCGGAUUGGGGUCUGCAACUCGACCUCAUGAAGUCGGAGUCGCUAGUAAUCGCAGAUCAGCAACGCUGCGGUGAAUACGUUCCCGGGGCU